CCUACGGGUGGCAGCAGUGAGGAAUAUUGGUCAAUGGGCUUACGCCUGAACCAGCCAAGUCGCGUGAGGGAAGACUGCCCUAUGGGUUGUAAACCUCUUUUGUCAGGGAGCAACGCCGGCUACGUGUAGCCGGACUGAGAGGACCUGAAGAAAAAGCAGCGGCUAACUCCGUGCCAGCAGCCGCGGUAAUACGGAGGAUGCGAGCGUGAGCCGGAUUGAUUGGGUUGAAAGGGGGCGUAGGCGGAAUGCCAAGUCAGCGGUAAAAUCGCGGGGCUCAACCUCGCUCCGCCGUUGAAACUGGCGUUCUUGAGUGGGCGAGAAGUAUGCGGAAUGCGUGGUGUAGCGGUGCAAUGCAUAGCUAUCACGCAGAACUCCGAUUGCGAAGGCAGCAUACCGGCGCCCAACUGACGCUGAGGCACGAAAGCGUGGGUAUCGAACAGGAUUAGCUACCCUGGUAGUC
rnacentral:rRNA from 1 species